AAACUUGCAUACGAUUUAGUUGGUCUAGGAUUAAGAAGAAAAUAAUAAUUCCCUAAAAACAAGAUAAACCUCAGAUUAUAUUUAACAUUUUCAUACAUUACCAAACAAAAACAGGAAUAAACGCAAAAAACGUAUUACCAAGAAUUCAAGACCAAAAGGCUUAUCUAUAUAAACAACAAGAGUCCUAAUUCAAAAACUACACCAAGCUAAUUUAUUCUCAGUUAAACUAAAACAUAUUUUAAACACACAAAGUUAAAAUGGCGGGCCGUGACAUCUUCCAGCUGCGUUUCGCGGCUGUCGCGGUAUCCGUCGCCGUAUUGACCUUCCUAGUCUCCAGCCAAGUCACAGAAGCAUCACGUAUGAUGAGCUUAUGUUCUCACACCGCGUAUCCAUCUCUAUGCCAACCUAUGAUUAAACGUAUCACCAACCCAAGACGCGCCACGCACAAAACCAUCCAGGCUUUGGAAGCCAAUUUAUGUUUUUUAUUGAACCCUAUAUAUCAUACAGAAACAUCGUGGCGUAAAUGAAGUUGAACUAGUAACUGAUAAAAUUAUUGUUAGUUGACGGUAACAAGAAUUAAUAGAAGAGCAAUGUAGAUUAUAUUAGAUUAUUAUAUAUGGUUUACUUUCAUUCCACGUAUAUUAUCGGUUUAUGAGGUUAUAAUUGGGUUAUGAGAUUUAUAUUUUCGGUUUUAGUGUGAAUAUUAAUUUUUCCGUUCUUGGCCUUUGGCAAAAAAAGAAGUUCAGUACAUUAGACAUGAUCGUUUUUUUGGCAUAUCCAACCAAAUAUAAAUCAAAGGGUGGCUAAAACAAAUUAUUAAAUUUUAUUAAAAGAAGAAAAACAGUUGCUUCAAAUCAUGUUUCUUACUAUAUAGGUGGUGCAAGUUUUGCUUCCUAUUUCUCAUGUAGCAAACAACCUUUAUUUUUUCUUUCUUCUUGGUUUUGACUAGAACGAGACUGAGCAAAGUCUGAAAUCUCUUUUUUCUUAUAAUUGAUAAGAUCCAAAAUCAAAAUUUUAUGUAAUUAAGUUUCUGAAGCUCGCAAAAGUGAAUUUCUUGCCUCUCGAAAACAUUUAUAAGUGUUGAAGAAUGAACACAAAUACAAUGAAAGAAAAAACUGAAAUCAUGUUAAAGAAUAGUAAUCGAAAAGAUUCCAACCAUUAGACAAUUAUCAAUUGGAUAAGAUUCCUCUUUUACUGUCUUUUUUUUCUUCCGUGGCAACUGAAACUAUGCAUUUGUUAUAUGGACUAUAUAUAUUUGAAGAAUAUGUAUACAGCGACCAUUUGGUGUGACUAGAUCUUUUGUGUUUUUUUACUAAGAAAUUUGUGGUUCUAACUUACAAACGUGUACUAAACGAAUCCAGAACUCUGGAUGGAAUGAUAAACACGAAAAUUAGAGAUUUUAAACAGAUUUAUCAGUACUUUAGACAAGACACCAUAAAUAAAAUUUGAAUUAAGAGAUUUAUGAAAUGCAUUUGCCUCCCAAGAUUUAUAAAAAUAGAUAAUUAAGGACACCACCCAACGGUAUGGCUUUCUUAUCGUGUAAUCUUUGAAAUAGUGCUCGGAUAGAUAACAUUUCUUGAAGACUAGAUAGAUAAUUUUGUUUCACAUACUUUUUGAUGUUAAUUAAGUCUAUGUAUAUAUCAGUAAACAGAUUUCUUUGAACGAAAUUUUUCGAACCUAUAAUUUUUUUGUUACUUCUGACUGGUUCAAACGCAGCGGUUGCGGUUGCGGCUGCGGAAGUUUGCGGAUACGGGUGGUCGCAGUUUCUAACGGUUUUAAGAGAUUUGUACUACUGGUUCUGCGGUUAGAAAUUGGUGCGUUUGCGGUUAAAUAAUAAAUUAACAAUAUUUACAUUUUAUUUAAUUAUAAAAUAUCAAAAAUCAUAAUAUUAUAAUAAAUAUGAAAAUUAUAUUUAGAAAGUUAUAGUUUUAAAUUUUAAAAAAUUAUAGAAAAUAUUUUUAUUUUAAAUUUUUUUAAUAGUAAUUAAAAUAUAAUAGAUAUACUUUAGUAUUUUUAUAAUUCCAAUUUAAAAAUAUUUUAUUCCAAUUUUAUUGAAUAUUUUUAUUUUUGUAUUUAUAUAGUUUUUGAAAAAAAAGAAAAAAAAAAUAUUCUCUCGCACCCGCCCGCAACCGCAAACGCUAGCUGGAAUCAACUUUUGAUUUUAAGAGGUUCGGAACGGAUUAAAGCGAUUUGUAGCGGUUUGUAUGAUUGUUUCGAAACGCUGUCAACCGCUACCAACCGCAAAAUCUGCGUUUGCGGGUGGUAGCGGAGAGACCAGUCAGACCCCAAAGAGAAUAGAUCAUUAUUAGAGACUCUUGUAGAAAAGAUAAAGUAAUCAAGAAGCUUAAAGAAGAGCUAAACCGACCAAAACAAAAAUUAGAACAUUUUGUGGACAAGUCUCUAAAAUAAACUAUUCUAAAGUUUAUAAAAAUAGCUAUCAAUGAUAAAAUUCCUAAAAUAGCAUUUAAUUUAAAAAUAUUACUCUUAACUCUUAAACUUUAGUUUUACUUGGAUCCCUUACAUACUAAACAUUAAUCACUAAACUCAAACUCAAUCAUUUAAAAAAUAAUGUUAUUUAAAAAUAUGUAAUAUUGCUAAAGAUAUUUUUCAUAUUUCAAUUGUAACAAACCAACCAUAUGCAGUUAAGUCAAGCUGUAUCUCAUUUUAAUAUGAUAUUUUUUUCCUUGUUGGUUAGAUAUUUUAUUUAUUUAUUUCAAAUUUGGAUGGUUUUGAGAAUAAUUUAUACGGUUUGGUUUCAGAUUGGAUUCUGGUUUUAUCGAACCGAGAUAGCCUAGUAGUAUAAAUAAUUUUUUUUGUCGUUUCCCGUUUGAGAAAAUAAAGAAAACAUAAAACAGUACGUAAUAAAGGUGCGAAAUGUAUUUGAAAACUAAAAAGAGAGAGAUCUGUGUUGUGUCUUUUUUCAAAAUUUGAAACUCCGCCCUUCCCUUCCUCACGCGCCACCUUCUCCCUCCUCUUUACAAAUACACUCUCAUCUCUCUCUCUCCCUCUCCAAAAACAGAUCCAGAUUUCUCCCGUUGUGUGUUUGAGAGAUUCUCAAUUCUUUCUUCCACACAACACUAAAUGCGACGCAGCAGAUUCAGAUUCUCAUACUGUAAGAAACUCUCUCUCCCAUAAUCUGUCUACAUUGCUUCCUUAGAAUCUGCGCUCUUACGUGUGUUUGUUCUUACUUUCGUUACCACUGUGUUAGAUUCGUCACACCCAUUAGCUCAAUUUCAUAAUGACACCCGCACAAAUGGAUUAUCAGUUAUAAAGUUAGUUUCUUGAUUCUCUCUAAUGUGUGGGUGGGUAUCUCAGAUUAAUACCACGAGCUGAUAACUUGAGAGAGUAAUUCUCAGAUCUCAAAAUGUGAACUUGAUUAGUUAUUGAAUGUUCUUCAUACAUUUUUAACUAUUGCAAUUUUUUUGGGGAUAUGAAUUAAUUAAUUUUUUGUCAUUCUGACCACCAACUGUUCGAUGAAAUGCCUCAGCCAACAUGGACUCUCUUCCCGACGCCAUCCUUCAAUACAUUCUCUCCAACCUCACCGAAGCCAAGGACGUGGCUUCCUGCAACUGCGUCUCCAAGCGAUGGAAAGAGUCUACAGACUCCGUCAAGAGCAUCAAGUUCCCAAGAAACUCAUUCGAAAACAUCUCCGACGUUACUGCUUCCGACGCCAUCGUUCUCAAGAUGAUCUCUUCUUUCCACCGCCUCGAGGAGCUUGUCCUCUACAGCCCCUUCACCAGCAAAGGCCUAGCGUCUUGGCUGACCCACGUGUGCCGGUCUCUCAGGCUGUUGGAGCUGAGAAUGGAUAAUCUCGCUAGCGAGGAGGCUCUCGUAGAGGGACCCUUGAAGCUUGAUUGUAUUGGCGUGGUUAAGGGUUUGGAGACUUUGAAGCUUUGGGGUGUUUUGAUGAUGAGUCCUCCUAAGUGGGAUUUGUUCCCUAACCUUCGUUGUCUUGAGAUUGUGGGAGCUAGAAUGGAUGAUAAUGCGUUGGGUAGUGCCUUGCGUGCUUGCCCGAAUCUGAGUAGCGUGCUUCUACUAGCUUGUGAAGGAAUUAAAUCUAUAUCGAUCAGCCUGCCGUUUUUGGAGCAUUGUAAGCUGGAUUUUUACGGACAAGGGAACACAUUGCUUUCGCUCACGGCCCCGAGGAUAGUGUCUCUUGAUGUACAAGGCUGUAGCUGGAUCAGUGUCCCUGAAACCAGUUUCUUGAAGAACCUAUCCAUCGCCAAUGUUUCUGGUAAACAGAUCUUGUAUUGAGUUUAACUAGUUUGGUUUCAGUUACCAUAGUCUUACUUUGUGUUGUUCGUUGUUUACAGGGAGAGUUUACAUGGUACAGUUCCGAAACCUUUCAUCCCUUGAGGCCUUGUCAGUUCGAGGCGUGCAAUGGUGUUGGGAUGCACUAACCACGAUUCUGGAGCAAGCGAGAGACGUGAAGCAUCUCUUUAUGAAGGUUGAAUUCACAGGCAACGAGGCUCUUCAACCUUUCCCUGAGAUUGAUUUUGUUGAGUUCUUCAAGAACCAUCCCAAGCUUCAGAAGUUCGAUAUCCAUGGAGCAAUGUUCGCUGCACUUUGCCAGAAAAACAGCCUAAAGAAGGUAAACAAAAAAAACACUCUUCUUCAUCAGAAACAUUCUCUAUAAAUCAAAAGUUUUACCAAUAAUGUAAGAUUUUGAUUCUCUUUGCAGCUUGAGACAGGAUUUGCAAUACAGUGUUUGGAGGAAGUUGUAAUCACAGUGAGAUCUCCAUUGAACGCAGAACAGAAGAUGAACACACUUGAAUCACUUGUGCGGUACGCAAAAGGUUUGAAACGAAUGGUGAUAAGGGUUCUUAGGAUGAAGAGCAACCACAGCAGUGCAGAUGAUUUCUGCGAUGAUAUCUGCAAGUUCCACCACAUGAAUAAACAUCUUGUUCACAUUGAAUGAAAUAUUCUUCUGGCUGAUGAUUAAUACAUUUUCGGCCAUUGAUUUCUGUUUUUCUCGUUCUGUUAGCUGAGCAUUUCUAGUUUUGAACUCUUGAGUAACUUUUUGUUUCUCUGAUUCAUUGUUGUGACUUGUGAACUUGUGACUCUGAUUCCGACAAAGGUUCGGUACUCUUACUUGUUGUUUGUCUUUAAAUACAAAUCAUUAUGGACUCAUUUCUUGAUAUUUUAGUUUUUUUGAAGUUAUUUUCUUGUUCUGAUAUAGGCAUUUGUUGCACUAUUUUUCUAAGCUGGAUUGUAUUAUUAAAUUAUAUACGCCAAAAGUUAUAAACAAUAAAAAUAGGAAAACAAAAGUUAAAAAUGAUACACAUGUAAAGAUUCAAAAUAAACAACACAUCUAUUAUGCAUAUAAAAACUUUAGUUGAAUCUCAUAAAAGAUAAUUAUCAUAAUAACAUCUAUUUAAAGCUUCAGACUGAAUUGAUGGCUGCCACUCAUUCCAAAUAGUUGAGUUUAUGGUAAUUAUGGACACAUUUCUUAAUAGAAUUUGUUUUAAAAGCAGCCAAGUUCUAAACUUAAAAAAAAAUAUAAUUUUUUAAAAAAGUUUAGAAAAAUGUAUUUAUUUGUAUCAAAAGACCCUAAACUUGCAUAAGAUUUAGUUGGUCUAGGAUUAAGAAGAAAAUAAUAAUAUCCUAAAAACAAGAUAAACCUCAGAUUAUAUUUAACAUUUUCAUACAUUACCGAACAAAAACAAGAAUAAACGCAAAAAACGUAAUACCAACAAUUUCAAGACCAAAAAAGCUUGUCUAUAUAAACAACAAGAGUCCUAAUUCAAAAACUACACCAAGCUAAUUUAUUCUCAGUUAAACUAAAACAUACUUUAAACACACACUAAAUAAAAAUGGCGGGCCGUGACAUCUUCCAGCUGCGUUUCGCGGCCGUCGCGGUAUCCGUCGCCGUAUUGACCUUCCUAGUCUCCAGCCAAGUCACAGAAGCGUCACGUAUGAUGAACCUCUGCUCUCACACCGCGUAUCCAUCUCUAUGCCAACCUUUGAUUAAACGUAUCACCAACCCAAGACGCGCCACGCACAAAACCAUCCAGGCUUUAGAAGCCAAGACAAAACUGGCUUUAGCUGAUGCGGCUAGGUACAAAAAUGGUAACCAAGCGAUCGCUACGUGUUACGCGGUGUUUAGCGAUG
rnacentral:lncRNA from 1 species